UAUUAAGGGAGCUUUUAGAAAGGCUGAGAGGAAACUGUGAGUUUCGACCUUGAACCUGAUUUGGAUAAUGCCAACGUAGGGAAAUAUUU
rnacentral:ncRNA from 1 species